AGUGAACGCUGGCGGUAGGCCUAACACAUGCAAGUCGAACGGCAGCACAGUAAGAGCUUGCUCUUACGGGUGGCGAGUGGCGGACGGGUGAGGAAUACAUCGGAAUCUACUUUUUCGUGGGGGAUAACGUAGGGAAACUUACGCUAAUACCGCAUACGACCUACGGGUGAAAGCAGGGGAUCUUCGGACCUUGCGCGAUUGAAUGAGCCGAUGUCGGAUUAGCUAGUUGGCGGGGUAAGGGCCCACCAAGGCGACGAUCCGUAGCUGGUCUGAGAGGAUGAUCAGCCACACUGGAACUGAGACACGGUCCAGACUCCUACGGGAGGCAGCAGUGGGGAAUAUUGGACAAAGGGCGCAAGCCUGAUCCAGCCAUACCGCGUGGGUGAAGAAGGCCUUCGGGUUGUAAAGCCCUUUUGUUGGGAAAGAAAAGCAGCAGGUUAAUACCCCGCUGUUCUGACGGUACCCAAAGAAUAAGCACCGGCUAACUUCGUG
rnacentral:rRNA from 1 species